AUUUAACGCGGAACCUUGUCCCGUCGCGUCCCUCCGGUUUGAGACGUCCGAAGCGCGAGAUUAAAAUGCAUUGAAGAGGAGUCUGCGCGAGGCUGAGGAGCAGAGAGGAGAAGGAGCAGAGAGAAGGAGCAGGGAGGAGGAGAAGAGAGCAGGAGCAGAGAGGAGGUGAAUCACCAUGGAAACGCAAUCUGAUCCCCAAUUGGCCAGCCAGACUGGCCAGGCUACGCCCACAGAUUUUUUUCCUGCAGCAUCGCCAAAGACAGGGGGCGGGAUCUCUCCUAACCCACCAAGCUCAUUGGGUGAGGACAGUGCGAGCUACCUGUCGUCCACCAGUAGGAUCGCAGGAUCUCCUGCCCGCAGUGUGCUGCGCUUCGGCAUCAUGCAGACCAGAGUGACCCUGCUGGACGGGGCUGUCUACACCUGUUCUAUAGAG
ensembl:lncRNA